rnacentral:piRNA from 1 species
UGUGAUGGACAGCUUGAGUUUGAAUCAAGU